UUCGGAGCAGUGGCGGACGGGUGAGUAACGCGUGGGAAUAUGCCCUUUGGUACGGAACAACUGAGGGAAACUUCAGCUAAUACCGUAUGUGCCCUUCGGGGGAAAGAUUUAUCGCCAUUGGAGUAGCCCGCGUUGGAUUAGCUAGUUGGUGAGGUAAAGGCUCACCAAGGCUACGAUCCAUAGCUGGUCUGAGAGGAUGAUCAGCCACACUGGGACUGAGACACGGCCCAGACUCCUACGGGAGGCAGCAGUAGGGAAUCUUGCGCAAUGGGCGAAAGCCUGACGCAGCCAUGCCGCGUGAAUGAUGAAGGUCUUAGGAUUGUAAAAUUCUUUCACCGGGGAAGAUAAUGACGGUACCCGGAGAAGAAGCCCCGGCUA
rnacentral:rRNA from 1 species